UACAGCCUGCCCAGUGACUUUGUUCAACGGCCGCGGUAUCCUAACCGUGCGAAGGUAGCGUAAUCACUUGUUCUUUAAAUGAGGACUAGUAUGAAUGGCAUCACGAGGGUUAUACUGUCUCCUUUCCACAAUCAGUGAAACUGAUCUCUCCGUGAAGAAGCGGGGAUGAUUAUAUAAGACGAGAAGACCCUAUGGAGCUUUAAACUAAAUUUCAUCUGCCUGAAAGACACAAAAAAUUUCAGAAGAAUAAAUAAAACUCAGGCGCCUUGAUUUUAAGUUUUGGGUUGGGGUGACCGCGGAGCAAAACAAACCCUCCGCAUUGAACAAGACUGUUUCUUUAGCUAAGAGCUACAACUUAAAGCACCAACAAAUUGACAUCAUUGACCCAAUAUUUUGACCAACGAACCAAGUUACCCUAGGGAUAACAGCGCAAUCCGCUUCAAGAGCCCAUAUCGACAAGCGGGUUUACGACCUCGAUGUUGGAUCAGGGUACCCCAGUGGUGCAGCCGCUACUAAAGGUUCGUUUGUU
rnacentral:rRNA from 1 species